UGUCCAGUAGCACCUUAGAGACCAACUAAGUUUGUUCCGGGUAUAAGCGUUCGUGUGCAUGCACGCUUCUUCAGAUACCAAAAGCUUAUACCCGGAACAAACUUAGUUCGUCUCUAAGGUGCUACUGGACA